GCUUUCUGCCACUUCCUCUAACUCAGGGCAACUGGCAGAGUGAAUUGGAUUUCUCUGCCUAUGUGUCAGGAGCCCUUUUUGCCUGUUUCUGUGAUAGCCUUCCUGUCAGGCAGUCAAACAUGUCAGGUUCUUGCGGCAGAUUUCCUGGUCUGCUGAGGGGAUAUACUUGAGGCUCAAGGCUCGAUUGCGAACAUUCUACUAAUCUUGGUGAAGGAAACAAGGAGGCCUCCGAAUGGGACUAGCUAUCUUAUACUUUGCCUCUCCUGUGCAGGUGAAGUUCAAGAUUGAAUUGCCGCAGUCUCUACCCGGAAGCUAUUCAAGGCCAACAGAACCAAGCCUCUGCAUAAGCCAGCUCUCUUCACACACAGUGAUCGACAUCCAAUGAAUAUCUGCCCACUCUAAAUCCAAGAAGGCCUAUGCUGCAGCUUGAAUGACCUUCAAGCCUCAGCUGAAACACAGAUACACUGGGGUCACAUAAUGAGAACACAGUCAACUUUUCUGAGAAGGA